rnacentral:rRNA from 1 species
CCUACGGGCGACAGCAGUGAGGAAUAUUGGUCAAUGGGCGAGAGCCUGAACCAGCCAAGUCGCGUGAAGGAUGACGGCCCUACGGGUUGUAAACUUCUUUUGUCCGGGAGCAAUUGAGUCCACGUGUGGGCUUAUCGAGAGUACCUGAAGAAAAAGCAUCGGCAAACUCCGUGCCAGCAGCCGCGGUAAUAGGGGGGAUGCGAGUGUUAUCCGGAUUUAUUGGGUUAAAGGGGUGCGUAGGCGGAAUAUCAAGUAAUCGGUAAAAAUCCGGGUCUCAACCCCGUCGUGCCGUUGAAACUGAUGUUCUUGAGUGGGCGAGAGGUAUGCGGAAUGCGUGGUGUAGCGGUGAAAUGCAUAGAUAUCACGCAGAACUCCGAUUGCGAAGGCAGCAUACCGGCGCACAACUGACGCUGAGGCACGAAAGCGUGGGUAUCGAACAGGAUUAGAUACCCGUGUAGUC